AAUCAACGCUGGCGGCGUGCCUAACACAUGCAAGUCGAACGCGAGGGUCCCGCAAGGGACUAGUAGAGUGGCAAACGGGUGAGUAACACGUGGGUGACCUGCCUUCGAGUGGGGGAUAACGUCCCGAAAGGGUCGCUAAUACCGCAUGACAUCCUGUCUUUGAAAAGACGGAGAUCAAAGCUGGGGAUCGCAAGACCUGGCGCUUGAAGAGGGGCCCGCGUCCGAUUAGCUAGUUGGUGAGGUAACGGCUCACCAAGGCGACGAUCGGUA
rnacentral:rRNA from 1 species